rnacentral:lncRNA from 1 species
AUCUCUUUCCAGAGAUCACUCUUUCUGGAGUUUUUAUGCAAGCCUAAGAUAUGGGCUCGUUAACCAGACUGCAAAGGAAAGGCAGAGACUGUGUGUCUCCACCGGAAUCCUCAAUGCCAAAACAGUCCCUGGGUUUUACAGCCUCAGGAGUUCCUGGCACAGCAUCCAUCUGCUUUCUCUCAACUAAAAUCUACAGUAAGAUCCAACAGUUGAGAAGAAUGCUGAAUUACAACAGUUCCCAAAGGACUAAUCCUUCAGCUGAACGCUGAUAUAGAAAUGACUUUCAUUUCCUUUGUGGUAUAUAUUCAUCAGAGAGGUCAUGGCAGAUGAGAUUUAUGAAGGUGGUUAUAAAUAUGAUAUGGAUGUCCACAAGCAAGAGCAGAAAACUCUGAUCUUCAGCAGAGCAACCACAUAUGUUGUGCCAUGCCCUGGACUUAACAUAAUGUUGAGGAUCUUGACUCCUACUGAGAGCAGUAAGUCUUAUUGAUAGGAGUCUGAGUAUUUGAAAGCCAGCAUGGGAUUGCAUACAGCAUUGAUUAGGAGUGUUGCCUGCUGUUAACUUUCAAAUCACCAUCCCAAUCUUUCUCGAUGAAAGAAAUUGAACUCUAGACCUCCUACCAAAUUUUAUUUUUGCUGUUUCAAUCCUCUUUUCCUUUAAAAAUAUCAGCAGCCUACCAGACUAAGGUACACAGAGAAUAGAGGGUCAAGCAGCAGAAGGAGGCCUUUUCUACUCAGUCCUCAUGCAGCUUGACACUGAAGCACAACAGGGGUUGCAUACAGGGUGCAGUACAGAAGUGAGUUACCAUUUACCUGGACAGAUAGGAUAAGGUUCAUGUCAGGAUUUCUAAGAGUAUUUUUUGAACUUAUAUAUUAACAUUUGACAAAUAUCAAUCUGUCAAAUUUGUAGCAAAAAAGCAAUGCAAACCAAAGAAUGCCUUUUCAUAUUUUUACUAGCUCUGUAUUACCAUAAUUUGUCCAUUCAAUUCAGAUUCAUUAUUUUUCUGAGUUGUAACCAGGAUGUCAACCAUGAUUAUGGAGAAUAUUUUAAGAAAACACUAAAGUUGAAAAAGAUUACAAAUUAGUGUACCUCUGAUUACAUUUCUAUUUCUUCAGUCAUUACAUAAUAUGGUGCACAUGAAAAUGAACCGCAAUGAAUGUUCUCAGAUUUACUAAAUUUGGAAUAUAGUAAGUUGAUGAUAUAGUUUACAAAAUCAUGAUAUAUUACUGAAAAUACAUAUGUACUGUAAAAUUCAACAUGCCAGGGAUCUCUUAGAGCAUGUGGUAUUAACAUAUUUCAUGUGUCUAUCACAACUUCUUUGGCAUUUGUUCAAAUAUUUGACAAAAUGUUUGCAUAUAUGUUAGUACUGCAGACUUAGUACCAUAUUUGCUGUUCUUGCACCUUUCUCUGUCAAAUGUCACCCAGCUUAAAAAUUUUCCUCUUGAUUUUUGGAUAAUACUGACUAGAGAAUAAAUGAGAAAGAUUAACUAUAUAUGAAAUUAAAGGAAAUUAUUCUGCAAGUGAUUCUAUUAGGAGAAAACAUUUUGUAAUAAUCAGUUUUCUAGAUACCUUUUAAUUCAAUUCAAUGUUGACAGCAAAUGGAGUAGUCAGGAUGGAAACAUUUGCAAUCUGAGCAAAGCUCCUUCAGCCCUGAUUCUGAUUUUCUCUUUUGCUCUGAGGCACUGCUGGUUUUGCUUCCCAUCCUAGCCUUCCCACUUUGCUCACUUUCCUUUUCUGCUCGUUCCUUGGUGGAGUUUACUAGUUGUUCUUUUACAGCAAAAUAAAAUUAAUUAAAUCUUCUAGCUUGUUAUCUUUCAGUGAUAGUUAUUUGUGUUCAGUCAAGUUCUUGUUUAUUAACUGCACAUAAAAAAAAUACUGAGUUUCUCUGACUGGAACAAAGUAGAUCACAGACUUAUUUCCUAACAUAUUUUCAAACUAUGCAAUCUGCUGUUUCAUGAUCAAUGGAUUGUGUAACACAAAUAAGUGAUUUCAUACUUCUCUGAUUCCCGUAAUGAUAUAGUUUUAUUAUACCAGAAUUAUAUCCUCAAACUGACUGCACAGCUGAAUGCGUUGUCUUGAGUAACACAGAUAUUCCUAAAAUGAAUUUGCUGAUAUUUUAAGUGUUUUCUUUUGUAGUUUGUUAAUUUAAGCAAUCUGCCUUCAGCGUUCCCAAGAUGCCAGUACUUAUGGGGAAGAAGCGUUGUAUUUCAUUUGAUCUGGGCUUUUUUAUUGUUAUUUCUUUUGCUGGAAUUAAGCAAGGAUCAAAAUUUAUGCAGGGAUAAGAAAUUACAGGAUCUUUUCAAAUUGUUUUUGAGCUGAAGUAAUAACUGCAGUUAAUACUGUUUAAAUAUUUAUAAGAGAAGUUAGUUUAAUCAGUGUGACAAUGCAGACAUGCAUAUUUGUACCUAGGGCCAACACUGAAAAUAGCAGUUGGUAUUUACGUCUUCCUUAAUUUGUUUUCAUUUGGACAUUGCUACUUCAUAGGUCUAAUUUACCCCUCAAGCCUGCAGUUCUGAAACAUAAUUGUUGUAAAACUAAAGCGAUUAAGUAUUUACUGAUUAAGUAAUAUAUUUCAAAGAAAAUAGUUACCUAAUCAUUAAUUAAGCUAAUAAGCAUUUUACUACUUCUGAUUUAGUUAUGACUUUGCAUAAUUGUUGCUUACAAUUAUAAAGCUUUUAGUUAU